GCGAAAGCCUGACGGAGCAACGCCGCGUGAGGGAUGAAGGCCUCUGGGCUGUAAACCUCUUUUCUCAAGGAAGAAGAUCUGACGGUACUUGAGGAAUAAGCCACGGCUAAUUCCGUGCCAGCAGCCGCGGUAAUACGGGAGUGGCGAGCGUUAUCCGGAAUUAUUGGGCGUAAAGCGUCCGCAGGCGGCCUUUCAAGUCUGCUGUUAAAGCGUGGAGCUUAACUCCAUCAUGGCAGUGGAAACUGUUUGGCUUGAGUGUGGUAGGGGCAGAGGGAAUUCCCGGUGUAGCGGUGAAAUGCGUAGAUAUCGGGAAGAACACCAGUGGCGAAGGCGCUCUGCUGGGCCAUAACUGACGCUCAUGGACGAAAGCCAGGGGAGCGA
rnacentral:rRNA from 1 species